rnacentral:rRNA from 1 species
CCUACGGGGUGCUGCAGUGGGGAAUAUUGGGCAAUGGACGCAAGUCUGACCCAGCAACGCCGCGUGAAGGAAGAAGGCUCUCGGGUUGUAAACUUCUUUUAAGGGGGAAGAGCAGAAGACGGUACCCCUUGAAUAAGCCACGGCUAACUACGUGCCAGGAGCCGCGGUAAUACGUAGGUGGCAAGCGUUGUCCGGAUUUACUGGGUGUAAAGGGCGUGCAGCCGGAGAGACGAGUCAGAUGUGAAAGCGACGGGCUCAACCCGUGAACUGCAUUUGAAACUGUUUCCCUUGAGUGGCAGAGAGGUAAUCGGAAUUCGUUGUGUAGCGGUGAAAUGCGUAGAUAUAAGGAAGAACACCAGUGGCGAAGGCAGAUUACUGGACUAUAACUGACGGUGAGGCGCGAAAGCGUGGGGAGCGAACAGGAUUAGAUACCCCAGUAGUC